GAUGAACGCUAGCUACAGGCUUAACACAUGCAAGUCGAGGGGCAGCACUAGGUAGCAAUACUGAGGUGGCGACCGGCGCACGGGUGCGUAACGCGUAUCCAACCUUCCCGUUACUCUUGGAUAGCCUUCCGAAAGGGAGAUUAAUACAAGAUGGUAUUCAAAUUCCGCAUGUUAUUUGAAUUAAAGAUUUAUCGGUAACGGAUGGGGAUGCGUGACAUUAGAUAGUAGGCGGGUAACGGCCCACCUAGUCUACGAUGUCUAGGGGUUCUGAGAGGAAGGUCCCCCACACUGGAACUGAGACACGGUCCAGACUCCUACGGGAGGCAGCAGUGAGGAAUAUUGGUCAAUGGUCGGAAGACUGAACCAGCCAAGUAGCGUGAAGGAUGAAGGUUCUAUGGAUUGUAAACUUCUUUUAUACGGGAAUAAAACCUCCCACGUGUGGGAGCUUGUAUGUACCGUAUGAAUAAGCAUCGGCUAACUCCGUG
rnacentral:rRNA from 1 species